rnacentral:tRNA from 1 species
GCCCAGGUGGUGGAAAGGGAGACACGACUGCCUUAAAAGCAGUUGCCGGAUUACGGCGUGCGAGUUCGAGUCUCGUCCUGGGCA